rnacentral:lncRNA from 1 species
UUUAAGGGGGUUUAUUGCCAAAAAUAUCAUACCACUGGGGGGGUUACCAUCAAAAAAUAUUUUAACUAGGGGGGGUCACACAAUAAAGGUUUUUAUGUCUGACUUGUAUAUAAAUUGUUGACAAAAUUGAAGUGAGUGUGCGAUCUGUGAAAUAAUGUCUGUUUAUUAAAUCUUUGAUAGUGUAAACUGUAAAGCACCAUGCAGCAGGAUAUGCCUAAUUUCUCAAGGGCAGUGAAUCUGAUCACUCCUUAUCACAGUUGUGUAAAUUUACAAUCAAUAAAUUAACAACUCUAUGAAACGUUUCUCCCUAGUUUUGACCACAGGAAACAGUGAGUUGGAAAGGUUUCUGGACAUGCAUAAUUAACUUUCUAUAGUCAUGAUAGUGUUUAAAUCAUUUUGAUGUGAUUCUUGAGAUGAAAUGGGUGUGUAUAUAUAUAAUUAUUUUGAUGAAAGCAAGGAUGCAUGUUAGUUAUAUGUCCGUCACGUGGUAAUAGGUAUACUUAUUUUAUGAAAUUAUUACAAAGAUAUCGAAUAAGAAUAAAAGAUGAUCUCGAUAUUAUAG